GACGAACGCUGGCGGCGUGCCUAACACAUGCAAGUCGAACGAGAUCCAUGGGAGCUUGCUCCCGGAAGAUCUAGUGGCGAACGGGUGAGUAACACGUGAGAAACCUGCCCUGGAGUGGGGAAUAACUCGGGGAAACUCGAGCUAAUACCGCAUACCCUCGGAUGGUCGCAUGGCCGACCGAGGAAAGAUUUAUCGCUCUAGGAGGGUCUCGCGGCCUAUCAGCUAGUUGGUGGGGUAACGGCCUACCAAGGCAACGACGGGUAGCUGGUUUGAGAGAACGAUCAGCCACACUGGGACUGAGACACGGCCCAGACUCCUACGGGAGGCAGCAGUGGGGAAUCUUGCGCUAUGGGCGAAAGCCUGACGCAGCAACGCCGCGUGCGGGAUGACGGCC
rnacentral:rRNA from 1 species